rnacentral:rRNA from 1 species
UAGGGAAUUUUCGUCAAUGGGGGCAACCCUGAACGAGCAAUGCCGCGUGAGCGAAGAAGGUCUUCGGAUUGUAAAGCUCUGUUGCCGGGGAAAAAAGGAAGGAAAGAGGAAAUGCUUUU